UGACAAGCACUGAACAGACUGCCCAGGGAAGUGGUGGAGUCACCAUCCCUGGAGGUAUUUAAAAGAGGUGUAGAUGUCGUGCUUAGGGACAUGGAUUAGU